UGGGGAAUAUUGGACAAUGGGCGAAAGCCUGAUCCAGCCAUGCCGCGUGUGUGAAGAAGGUCUUCGGAUUGUAAAGCACUUUAAGUUGGGAGGAAGGGCAGUAAGCGAAUACCUUGCUGUUUUGACGUUACCGACAGAAUAAGCACCGGCUAACUCUGUGCCAGCAGCCGCGGUAAUACAGAGGGUGCAAGCGUUAAUCGGAAUUACUGGGCGUAAAGCGCGCGUAGGUGGUUAGUUAAGUUGAAUGUGAAAGCCCCGGGCUCAACCUGGGAACUGCAUCCAAAACUGGCGAGCUAGAGUAGGGCAGAGGGUGGUGGAAUUUCCUGUGUAGCGGUGAAAUGCGUAGAUAUAGGAAGGAACACCAGUGGCGAAGGCGACCACCUGGGCUCAUACUGACACUGAGGUGCGAAAGCGUGAGGAGCAAACAGG
rnacentral:rRNA from 1 species